rnacentral:miRNA from 1 species
CCAGUGGAGAUGCUGUUACCUU